rnacentral:rRNA from 1 species
GACGAACGCUGGCGGCGUGCCUAAUACAUGCAAGUAGAACGCUGAAGGAGGAGCUUGCUUCUCUGGAUGAGUUGCGAACGGGUGAGUAACGCGUAGGUAACCUGCCUGGUAGCGGGGGAUAACUAUUGGAAACGAUAGCUAAUACCGCAUAAUAGUAGAUGUUGCAUGACAUUUGCUUAAAAGGUGCAAUUGCAUCACUACCAGAUGGCCCUGCGUUGUAUUAGCUAGUUGGUGGGGUAACGGCUCACCAAGGCGACGAUACAUAGCCGACCUGAGAGGGUGAUCGGCCACACUGGGACUGAGACACGGCCCAGACUCCUACGGGAGGCAGCAGUAGGGAAUCUUCGGCAAUGGACGGAAGUCUGACCGAGCAACGCCGCGUGAGUGAAGAAGGUUUUCGGAUCGUAAAGCUCUGUUGUAAGAGAAGAACGAGUGUGAGAGUGGAAAGUUCACACUGUGACGGUAGCUUACCAGAAAGGGACGGCUAACUACGUG